rnacentral:rRNA from 1 species
GAUGAACGCUGGCGGCGUGCCUAAUACAUGCAAGUCGAGCGAACAGACGAGGAGCUUGCUCCUCUGACGUUAGCGGCGGACGGGUGAGUAACACGUGGAUAACCUACCUAUAAGACUGGGAUAACUUCGGGAAACCGGAGCUAAUACCGGAUAAUAUAUUUAACCGCAUGGUUCAAUAGUGAAAGACGGUUUUGCUGUCACUUAUAGAUGGAUCCGCGCCGCAUUAGCUAGUUGGUAAGGUAACGGCUUACCAAGGCAACGAUGCUUAGCCGACCUGAGAGGGUGAUCGGCCACAUUGGAACUGAGAAACGGUCCAGACUCCUACGGGAGGCAGCAGAAGGGAAUCUUCGGCAAUGGGCGAAAGCUUGACGGAGAAACGCCGCGUGAGUGAUGAAGGUCUUCGGUUCGUAAAACUCUGUUAUUAGGGAAGAAGAAGUGUGUAAGUAACUAUGCACGUCUUGACGGUACCUAAUCAGAAAGCCACGGCUAACUACGUG